rnacentral:misc_RNA from 1 species
GAUGAAGAACGUAGUGAAAUGCGAUAAGUAGUGUGAAUUGCAGAAUUCAGUGAAUCAUCGAAUCUUUGAACGCACAUUGCGCCCUUUGGUAUUCCAAAGGGCAUGCCUGUUCGAGCGUCAUUUGUACCCUCAAGCUUUGCUUGGUGUUGGGCGUCUUGUCUCUAGCUUUGCUGGAGACUCGCCUUAAAGUAAUUGGCAGCCGGCCUACUGGUUUCGGAGUGCAGCACAAGUCGCACUCUCUAUCAGCAAAGGUCUAGCAUCCAUUAAGCCUUUUUUUCAACUUUUGACCUCGGAUCAGGUAGGGAUACCCGCUGAACUUAAGCAUAUCAAUAAGCGGAGGA